rnacentral:rRNA from 1 species
AGCAGCCGCGGUAAUUCCAGCUCCAAUAGCGUAUAUUAAAGUUGCUGCAGUUAAAAAGCUCGUAGUUGAAUUUCGGGACCAUCAUGUCGGUCGUGCCUCGGUACGUACUGGUAUUGUUGGUUUCUCCCUUCUGACGAGCCAUGAUGUCAUUUAUUUGGUGUUGUGGGGAAUCAGGACUGUUACUUUGAAAAAAUUAGAGUGUUUAAAGCAGGCUCACGCUUGAAUACAUUAGCAUGGAAUAAUGAAAUAGGACGUUUGAUUCUAUUUUGUUGGUUUCUAGGAUCGACGUAAUGAUUAAUAGGGAUAGUUGGGGGCAUUAGUAUUCAAUUGUCAGAGGUGAAAUUCUUGGAUUUAUUGAAGACUAACUACUGCGAAAGCAUUUGCCAAGGAUGUUUU